CUCCAACUUAUGAUGCUUCCUCGGACGAGUAGCAGGAGGUCCCACCAUCACUAUUGUUUCUUGAUCAGUGGCAAGCAGAAGAUCCCCAUUCUGAUCAUGGGACUUGGGGUCCCAACUCCUUUGUCAAGGAGACCUUUCUGGGUAAGCCCCAGCAUGUUGGUGAUGUGGAGGAAGAGCUGGUUUCGGCACAGCUGGAUUGGCAAACUUUUUUG